AUCUAGCCUCUGUUGCACUUACUCUGUUGUUAUUCAGUUGGUUUCAGUGGCACAGAGUCUAGUGAGGAGGGAGGGCGGGUCCACUUUGGAUCUGUAGCUGUACAUGUAAAUCUGUGCUUCAGUAAUGAAGUUGUGAUUUUGUUUUAGAUCCAUAAUGAGUGGUGCAUCAGGCAACAAAUCAAGAGAGGCGUGGAUGAAAACAUUCGAAACUACACCACUACUGAGGGGUUUUGGUAUUUAUUCAUAUUGGUAUUUUUGUUACAUCAAGUCACCUAAUUUUAGAUAAUGAAGGCAGACCUAGGCACAGAUUAAUGCACAGGCAGUGAUAGGCUGUAGCCUAGGGGCCUCUCAGUGCUGAUUGUUCAUUUUGAUAAUGCUACAUGAGGGACUGCCCUCAGUCAGUACCAUGUGACCUUAUCUGUGCAGAGGCUUUUGAAUCACAACAAGGUUACUGUGAACCGAACAUUUCACACAAUAUUUGUUCUCGUUAUUUCAUGUUCAGCUCCGGUGGAUCUUUACUGUCGCUGUCCAAGGCGCUGAUCCUGGGUCAUGAUGCCUGCUGUUAGUUACCAUUAAUGCUGUUUGCACGGCUGACACGAUUUAUGUUUUAAACACCAAUGAUAUUUUAGAAGUUUAGCAAUUUAUUCUGCUGUUCUGUUUACGAGCACCACUCAUUUUCUUUUAAUCUGUGCACCUCAGGCCGAACCUUGGGCUGAUAGAUUUAAAUGAUAGUUUUUGUCCUAAAUAUUGCCUUGCUGAAGGCAAGACAUUGCUGUGUUUAUUCUGAUUCCUACACAGUGGAUGAGACAGUCCCCACACCCGCCCCCUGCUCUCACACUUUUGCUCUGAAAGUAUUCAAGAAGGAAACAUAACGAACAGUUCCCCAGUGGUCUGCGGUGGAGACAAAGUUUUUUUCAUAUCUCUGCUUGAUAUUUCAAGAAUCUGGACGUUAAUUCCCCUGUUUUUAGUGCAGAGCCACAAAAGUGUGUAACUAUAUGACACAUAUUAUAUCAUCUGAUGCGUGGAGAGGAGCGGACUUCUUAAUGUGGCGUCCUUCAAGUUUAAUGGACUGAAACUGGAUGACAGAACAAUUUCUCAGAAGCAGAGCAGCAGAGCGACAGUGUCCGUGCUGGAUGUGAAGAUGGGGCACACUCUGCUCUGUGUGCUGGGCUUAUUCUUGCUGAAUACACUCCUCUACGGACAUGCUGAAGGGCAGGAUGAUGAACAAGAGAGGCGC